GACGAACGCUGGCGGCGUGCCUAAUACAUGCAAGUCGAGCGAGUCUGCCUUGAAGAUCGGAGUGCUUGCACUCUGUGAAACAAGAUACAGGCUAGCGGCGGACGGGUGAGUAACACGUGGGUAACCUGCCCAAGAGAUCGGGAUAACACCUGGAAACAGAUGCUAAUACCGGAUAACAACAGAUGAUGCCUAUCAACUGUUUAAAAGAUGGUUCUGCUAUCACUCUAGGAUGGACCUGCGGUGCAUUAGCUAGUUGGUAGGGUAACGGCCUACCAAGGCGAUGAUGCAUAGCCGAGUUGAGAGACUGAUCGGCCACAUUGGGACUGAGACACGGCCCAAACUCCUACGGGAGGCAGCAGUAGGGAAUCUUCCACAAUGGACGCAAGUCUGAUGGAGCAACGCCGCGUGAGUGAAGAAGGGUUUCGGCUCGUAAAGCUCUGUUGUUGGUGAAGAAGGACAGGGGUAGUAACUGACCUUUGUUUGACGGUAAUCAAUGAGAAAGUCACGGCUAACUAAGUG
rnacentral:rRNA from 1 species